rnacentral:tRNA from 1 species
GGGAUAUGACUCAGUUGGUAGAGUGCCUGCCUAGCAUGCAGGAGGCUCUGGGUUCAAUCCCUGUCAGCCCC